rnacentral:rRNA from 1 species
AUUGAACGCUGGCGGCAUGCCUUACACAUGCAAGUCGAACGGCAGCACGGGUGCUUGCACCUGGUGGCGAGUGGCGAACGGGUGAGUAAUACAUCGGAACAUGUCCUGUAGUGGGGGAUAGCCCGGCGAAAGCCGGAUUAAUACCGCAUACGAUCUACGGAUGAAAGCGGGGGACCUUCGGGCCUCGCGCUAUCGGGUUGGCCGAUAGCUGAUUAGCUAGUUGGUGGGGUAAAGGCCUACCAAGGCGACGAUCAGUAGCUGGUCUGAGAGGACGACCAGCCACACUGGGACUGAGACACGGCCCAGACUCCUACGGGAGGCAGCAGUGGGGAAUUUUGGACAAUGGGCGAAAGCCUGAUACAGCAAUGCCGCGUGUGAAGAAGGCCUUCGGGUUGUAAAGCACUUUUGUCCGGAAAGAAAUCCUUGGCUCUAAUACAGUCGGGGGAUGACGGUACCGGAAGAAUAAGCACCGGCUAACUACGUG